UUUCCGUAGGUGAACCUGCGGAAGGAUCAUUAACGAGUAACAAAGGGGAGUUGUAGCUGGCCGUGAGGCAUGUGCACGCUCCUCGCUCAAUCCAACCUUUACCCCUGUGCACCUAUUGUAGGUUGGGUGGUCUGGUCUCAGGUCGCCCUCCCUAUGUUUCCCACAAACACCGCAUGUAGUAACAGAAUGUAAUCUGCGUCUGACGCACCUAAUAACAACUUUCAACAACGGAUCUCUUGGCUCUCGCAUCGAUGAAGAACGCAGC
rnacentral:misc_RNA from 1 species